UGGUAUUGCAAAAUAAUAAUUCUUUUUCAUAUAAAAAUAAAAUUAUUGAGAUUCAUAUAUUUAUCUUUAUUUUAGUGUGCAUACAUAUAACCACUCGUACAUAUUUCCCCAUUGACAAAUAUUUCUGAAUCUGCCACUAUGAAUGGCUACUCUUCAAAUAUUUCACAAAUCCUUGCAAGAAUUGCAUUGGCAACAAAUAAGAAUCUCAAUCAAUUUAGGUUUUCCAUCUGCCAUGCACAUGAAUUGACAUACACCAAAGCGUCCCACGAUUUGUUACAUUAUCAAAGACAACAGCAGCUGCUCACCCAAUUAUUAUAUCAACAUGUACAGGAACUUCACGGCUGCACUGUUGGUUUCAUAUUCUACAAUUGGCAGCUGCAUGAAGUGUAGCAUUAACAAAUCUGACCAUUUUUAUUAACUAUUUCAUGUUCAUAUCAAAUUCAUCUACUUACUGCAGUAAACAAACUGAUUGAGAUCAAGAGUAACUCUGCCUUGCUUAGCUGUAUCAAAUGAAUUAAAAAGAUUCCUGCAAUGAACCAGAAGAUAAAUUAUAUUGUUCAUUGGCUAGCAUAUGAAAGGUUGGAAUUUAUUGCCAAAUAAGGUUGCGAGUGUAAAAUGGCAGAUUUCUAUUCCUAGCUCAAGCAGCUUCAAUGUCCUGUGAAAUUGACAUAAGCCAUAAAAUUUUCAUGUGUGCUUGCAUCUGGAUCAUUUGUUUGAAUGUAAACUUUAAAGACUGAGGAAACCCAUUGUUGUUGGAUCCAUAUUCCAUGCAAAGGCACAAUUUAUCCAAACAAAUUUUUUAUAUCCAAUUAUCCAUAACAAACUUACUGCAGGCUAUUCAAUGUAAUGAAUGCACUAUGGUGUAUCUAUGAAAACCCACCGAGCAGACUGCAGAAAGAUACAGAGAGAAAUAAAGUCAUCCAGACGAAAUCUUCCGUUCUUCUUUUGGUCAAAGCUCUGAACCAUAAAUAGGAGUUAUCAUUAUUUACAUGUUAUAACUAAUUAAGGUAAGAACUAUUUUCUAGGUCAUCAACACAUAAAUUAAGAAUUCAAAAUAAGUUAAAAAUAUAUUUACAGAACAGAAAUCUCACUGACAAUCUAGUUCGAUCUAUUAGAAGACAUUGAAUUCACACCAUAUGACAUAAAACCUGAUCUUGAAAGAGUGAUAUGUUUUAUCUGAUAGAUCUUUGUAACAUAAAUUUAUGAUACCUCACAGACCGUGUAAAAAGCUGGAGAGUCUAGCGUGAAACCAAUUUUCACCAAUGCCUGUAGUCAAGCUUCAAUAAUGAGAAACCAUGUCUUCCAUUUCAAAGAAAUAUCUAUUAGCAAUCAAAAGUGCGCAAGAAAAAUCAUAACAAGAUUAAUAUGACAAUAAAAUUACAAAGUUAUUUUAGCAGGAUAACUAAUGUCAUUAAUCAGUAAUCACUCAUGUAAACUUCAUUUAUUUGGUUGCAACGUAGAAACUAUUUCUUCAGAAACCACCUCAUAUACAUCAUCAGGAAGAAGAUACCCACGAUCCCUGUAACAAGUAAAAAGUGAGACUAUUAAGAUAGCCAUAAGUUCACGUCAAAUGAAUGUUAAGAGUAAAGAACAACGUAACACAAUUAGAUGGAUGAUUAUACAUCAACCAAAAUAUUGACCCAAACAUGAAAAUUCUGUCACAAAUUAUAAGAAGAAAUAUAGGAAUCAGAUGUAAUGAGAAUAAGCAUAAUUCUAGAAGUCUUAGAAGAGUGCAGACGGGAUUAGUUUGGCGGGAGCAGCAAAGGGAGAGCAGCAUAAAUACUCAGUGCAGCAAUAUUGUAAUUCAUUCCAAGAAUUAUCAAGAAUACAACUUCUUCUUCUCCUAUUCUAUUCUCUCUAUCUCUUCUAUCUCUCUAUCUUCUGUCUUUCUAUCUCUAUUUUCCUGUUCUACUACAUUCUUCUCUGUUAGGGAUUCAUAACCCUAAAAUUGGUAUCAGAGCUUUGCAUCCAAGAAAUCAGUGGGCAAUUGAGUUUUGGGUGCCGCAAUUAUGACCAGGUCGGCUGUAGUGAGUCAGGAGAUGGCUAGGAUUGCACAAUUGGAGGUACAAAUGAGGAAUCUGCAGGAGGCUACUCAGAGGAAUAUUGAUGAAUUGAAGUAUUUCAAGAAAGAAAUGAAGGAAGAAUUAAACAAGACUUCUUUGAAUAACAAUGUUAUCCUGGAAGAAUUGUGAGCCCUAAUAAUCACUCAUGUGGUGGUAAAGAACAAGGGAAGCAGUAGUUCAAGUUAAGAGCAGAGUAAAAAACAGGGGAUUACAAGCCAACCCUAUAGUUCCAACGAUAGUUACCUGGAUCGCGGUACUCUUGAGUCGUGGUACAAGUAUAGCAUAUGCGAUACGCUACUUUAUGAAAUAUAAGAUAUGCAUGGAGUAGGCUUAGUUAGUACGCUAAUUGGAUUUGUGGUACGCUAAUUCGGUUUGUAGAAUGCAAAUUUUAUUUUUUAAUAUGUAAAAUAUAUUUAUAUGACAACUUUAAAAAAAAAAAUUACUUAGCAUAAUGUGUAAUAAAAAAAUAAAAUAUUAAUUUAAUAAAAAUUUACUAAGAGAGUAUACGUUGGUGCAUAAUGUUUGUGGAUGAUAUUGUUCUGAUAGAUGGGACGCGAGAAGGAAUCAAUAGAAAGAUAGAGCUUUGAAGAAAUACUCUAGAGUUAA
rnacentral:misc_RNA from 1 species